rnacentral:tRNA from 1 species
ACCUGGCUGGCUCAGUUGAUAGAGCAUGUGACUCUUGAUCUUGAGGUCAUGAGUUCAAGCUCCACGUUAGGUG